UACAGAGGUCUCAAGCGUUGUUCGGAUUCAUUGGGCGUAAAGGGUGUGUAGGUGGCGCCGUAAGUCGGGUGUGAAAACUCUGGGCUCAACCCAGAGCCGCCACCCGAUACUGCUGUGACUUGAGUGCGGUAGGGGAGCGGGGAAUUCCUGGUGUAGCGGUGAAAUGCGCAGAUAUCAGGAGGAACACCAGUGGCGAAGGCGCCGCUCUGGGCCGUGACUGACGCUGAGGAGCGAAAGCGUGGGUAGCAAACAGG
rnacentral:rRNA from 1 species